GUCCGUGCACAGGUGCUGCAUGGCUGUCGUCAGCUCGUGUCGUGAGAUGUUGGGUUAAGUCCCGCAACGAGCGCAACCCUCGUCCCUAGUUACCAGCGGGUCAUGCCCCGCCACACCUAGGGAGACUGCCGGUGUCAAACCGGAGAAAGGUGGGGAUGACGUCAAGUCAUCAUGACCCUUACGUCCAGGGCGACACACGUGCUACAAUGGCCGGUACAGAGCGUCGCCAACCCGCGAGGGUGCGCCAAUCGCCAAAAGCCGGUCUAAGUUCGGAUUGCAGUCUGCAACUCGACUGCAUGAAGCCGGAAUCGCUAGUAAUCGUGGAUCAGCCAUGCCACGGUGAAUACGUUCCCGGGCCUUGUACACACCGCCCGUCACGCCAUGGAAGCUGGGGGGACCUGAAGUCGGUGGGCUAACCGCAAGGAGGCAGCCGCCAAAGGUCAAUUCAGUGACUGGGGCGCAAGAUCCA
rnacentral:rRNA from 1 species